rnacentral:lncRNA from 1 species
UUUUCUUCCUUGAUAAAUUAUUUACCAUUUGUUGGCUUUCUUUUUCCUUGUCUGUAACAUAAAGACAGUGCUUGUGCCAUGAUGCCUGCAAUGACCGAAGGAGCACAGACACACGGGAAGCAUGGAACACGGAGUAACACAUGUGCUAGAGAGAUGGUGGCUGCUAUUAUCCCCCUCAUCCCACUCACCAUUCAAAUGGCAGUCACUCUUUUCACUUAGCAGUGAGACCUUGACUGAACCAUGAGCCUCCAUGAUACAGGCACCAUAUUAACUUCGGAUGAGGAGAAGUAAUCUGAAAGAAAAGAAUGACAGCCUAAUAGUCUAAGACUUCUCCCAGAAUGCAUCUGGAUCUCCCUUGCCGCUGUGUUCUUCUUCAUAAUGAAAAAAACAUGUAGGAUCACAGACAGAGCCGAUAACUUGCACAGCAUUCAAGUCACAGUGAAGAAGAAUUUAGUAGCUCAUAAUAAACACAGUCAUCCCUCAACAUUCUUGGGGACUGAUCCCAGCCCCUCCUGCAGCCCGAGCCCAUCAGCCUGUCUUUGGCUUCCAGGAAUGCUUGCCCAGUGUAUCUAGUUGCAGGCUUUCUCUAAAG